rnacentral:rRNA from 1 species
UACGUAGGUGACAAGCGUUUGUCCGGAUUUACUGGGCGUAAAGAGCGCGCAGGCGGUCGUUCAAGUCGAGUGUGAAAGCCCCCGGCUCAACUGGGGAGGGUCACUCGAUACUGAUCGACUCGAAGGCAGGAGAGGGAAGUGGAAUUCCCGGUGUAGUGGUGAAAUGCGUAGAUAUCGGGAGGAACACCAGUGGCGAAGGCGACUUCCUGGCCUGUUCUUGACGCUGAGGCGCGAAAGCUAGGGGAGCAAACGGGG